UCCCUGGUGGCUCAGACGGUAAAGCAUCUGCCUGAAAUGCAGGAGACCCAGGUUCAAUUCCUGGGUCGGGAA
rnacentral:tRNA from 1 species